UGUCCCAGGAAAAGGUGAAAUGAAAUGCCUGGGGCAAGUGAAAGAGCUGAUAAAGAUUAGAAAGCUGGAAUGAGGCAAGCGAGGAGACAUAAGGUUUCUUUUGGGGUGAUUACAUACUGAAAGUGGAAACCUGACACUCAGGAUUCUGGGCCCUGCCUCUACCUGAUCCCAAGGUCUGAAAUGUUGAAAGGCAAGGUUCUCGUCGAGUCUCCCCCUGCGCGGCCAAAAUGGAGACGCUCUGCGUUGGGGUGUGGCCGCCGGAAGUAGCUUCCCGCUCCGGCGCUGCUGCGCCAGCGCGCCCGGCUGGAAACAGAAGGGAGACGCUAAAGGGUUCCAACAGGCAGCGCGCGGGCGGGACAGGACCCUUGGGGACAAGGUCCCUCAAAGCUGGAUUCUCCGUCUUCCCCGCAGCGGGCAGAUCCGCUACACGUAGGUUGUGGCAUCGUUUGAAGAGAGGUUACCUUGUUCUGAGCCACAGACCUCCCAUCUGCACAAUGGGGUGGACGUAUGCUGGUGGGAGAAGAGAUUUGUCACCAGCUUGGAGAAUGGAAGCCGCUUCCCCCAAGAAGACGCAGCUGCUGACUGGAGAGCUGGCGCUCCUGAUCCACUACCAAAUGGUUUCAUCAAUAUGUGAAAAGCCUGACCUUGACCUGAUGGGCAGGAAGAUGGACCUUGACCAUAAACCACAGCCUAGAAAGAAGAAAAAAGUUAACAACUCUUCUCAUCAUUAAGCCAAAGAAGUAGAAUGGAGAUAAUGUUACACACACACAAAAAGUUUUAUGAACAUCUUGUUGUUGUCUCUGUUUUUCUGAUUUUGCCGUAGACUAGUAACAACUUUUUCACAGAGCAGCCUUGGCCCACGGACAAAUGUCUGGUAAUCGUUGAUCUUUACCACAGCAGCAAGUCGAAUGACUAAAGAAGAGUCCACCAUCAGAUUUCUAGUCAUUAGACCAGCCUCCUGUUUUUGGAUAUUCAGUUCGUCUCCAGUUAUUUCCUAUAUAAAGAGUGUGGCAAUGAACAUCCUUGAAGCUCAAUCUUUUCUCUCACCUUUACUGAUUUUCUUAGGAUAAAUUCCUAGACGUAGAACUUCUAGGUUGAAGAAUAUGCAUGUUUUAGGCUUUAGCUCAUUUUGCCCAGCUGUCUUCCAGAAAGAAAACACCAAGUUUCAUGGUUAUCUCCCCACAGAUGUUUCACAAAACUUGAAUUGCUAACACAAGUCACCCCAGGAUCCUUCCUGAACUGCUCUUUUGGUCAAGGGGUUUGAGUUGGCAACCUUCUGCCCCCUACAACCUGUGCCACCUCCAUCCCUCCCAAGAUCAAAGUCACUUGCAUAUUUACAAGUGGUCACUGCCCGUCUUACAUCCUCCCAUGCCCUCCCUCAGCCCCCCCGAGCUAGAGAAAUAAAGUCAGGGCUCUGGUCAGCUUCAGACAUGAGGCUGGGCCAUCAGGGCCUGCUGACACCCCAGCCUCAGUGCUUACCUUUCUCUGGCACAUCCAG